rnacentral:rRNA from 1 species
UAGGGAAUCUUUCGCAAUGGGCGAAAGCCUGACGGAGCAACGCCGCGUGAGUGAUGAAGGUCCUCGGAUCGUAAAACUCUGUUAUUAGGGAAGAACAAAUGUGUAAGUAACUAUGCACGUCUUGACGGUACCUAAUCAGAAAGCCACGGCUAACUACGUGCCAGCAGCCGCGGUAAUACGUAGGUGGCAAGCGUUAUCCGGAAUUAUUGGGCGUAAAGCGCGCGUAGGCGGUUUUUUAAGUCUGAUGUGAAAGCCCACGGCUCAACCGUGGAGGGUCAUUGGAAACUGGAAAACUUGAGUGCAGAAGAGGAAAGUGGAAUUCCAUGUGUAGCGGUGAAAUGCGCAGAGAUAUGGAGGAACACCAGUGGCGAAGGCGACUUUCUGGUCUGUAACUGACGCUGAUGUGCGAAAGCGUGGGGAUCAAACAGG